GUGCUCACUUCGGCAGUAUAUAUAGGUACUGAAAUUAGAAUGAUACAGAGAUUAGCAUGACCCCUACACAAGGAUGACAUGCAAAUUUGUGAAACAGUCUAUAUCUAC
rnacentral:snRNA from 1 species